UUUUAUUGUGAUCAGCUGCAGGCGAUCAGCAAUAUGACCUCAUCUGCAGCUGAGGGGAUUUGACCUUUGCCCCUUUAGGUAUGUGAAGCAGAAAAAAAUCCUUCACAGGCUGAGGAAUGCAAAGCAGACAAGCAUCUUCAGCCAGCAGAGUUUAUCAAGCAUGUGUUCAGUGCAAAUGCUCAGACUUGGACAUGAUGCAAAAGCAAUUAAGAGAAAGAACACUAGCUCUGCAUGACAGCAUUGAAUACAAAUAUCACUGAUGAUGAUGAAUGGAUUGAGGAAUGCGGAAUGCAUUGUACUAAAAGGGUCCAGAAAUUGCCACAAGUCUCUUUUUGAGUCUCAGAGAAGCAAGGCCAUCAUGUAUAAGCCAGGAAUUAUUUUUGUCUGCAAUCAAUCCUUCAGAAGAAUCUCUCACAUCUUCACUUUUGUGCAGUAUGUUAACUAUGAACAAAAUGAUAGUGUAUGUCAGUCAAAUGUAAUACUUAUAUUAAAACCUGAUUAUUAAUGCAGAAGCUCAUGGAAAGUAAGGUUAAUCUGAAUAAUAUAUUAUUUCUCUUAGUCCACAAUCUAUCAUUUCACAAACCAUGGUUAAUAGAAUGACAAAAAUAAAAAGCUUUGUUUAAAUGAAAAUGUAUAAUAUAUUCUUCAUCUCAUUUAUAUCUUAUUGUGUUAGGUAGGCGAACAUAGCUAGUCUGUGAAUGUGAUAAAAAGAAGAUGAUACAUUUCUUUGUUUUAAAAAUCUUAAGUAUUCCUGCUAAAUAGUGAGUUUCCAAAGGCUUGCUAUUAUUUAAAAUAUUGC
rnacentral:lncRNA from 1 species